rnacentral:miRNA from 1 species
UGGAUGAUGUUGACGAGUUUU